rnacentral:rRNA from 1 species
CGGACGGGUGAGUAACGCGUGAGAAUCUGCCCUCAGGAGGGGGAUAACGGCUGGAAACGGCCGCUAAUACCCCAUAUGCCGCGAGGUGAAAUGAAUUUCGCCUGAGGAUGAGCUCGCGUCUGAUUAGUUAGUUGGUGGGGUAAGAGCCUACCAAGGCAUCGAUCAGUAGCUGGUCUGAGAGGAUGAUCAGCCACACUGGGACUGAGACACGGCCCAGACUCCUACGGGAGGCAGCAGUGGGGAAUUUUCCGCAAUGGGCGAAAGCCUGACGGAGCAACGCCGCGUGAGGGAUGAAGGCCUCUGGGCUGUAAACCUCUUUUAUCAAGGAAGAAGAUCUGACGGUACUUGAUGAAUAAGCCACGGCUAAUUCCGUGCCAGCAGCCGCGGUAAUACGGGAGUGGCAAGCGUUAUCCGGAAUUAUUGGGCGUAAAGCGUCCGCAGGCGGUCUUGUAAGUCUGUCGUUAAAGCGUGGAGCUUAACUCCAUUUCAGCGAUGGAAACUGCAAGACUAGAGUGUGGUAGGGGCAGAGGGAAUUCCCGGUGUAGCGGUGGAAUGCGUAGAUAUCGGGAAGAACACCAGUGGCGAAGGCGCUCUGCUGGGCCAUAACUGACGCUCAUGGACGAAAGCCAGGGGAGCGAAAGGGAUUAGAUACCCCUGUAGUC